rnacentral:rRNA from 1 species
AUGACGUCAAGUCCUCAUGGCCCUUAUAGGUGGGGCUACACACGUCAUACAAUGGCUGGUACAAAGGGUUGCCAACCCGCAGGGGGAGCCAAUCCCAUAAAGCCAGUCGUAGUCCGGAUCGUAGUCUGCAACUCGACUACGUGAAGUCGGAAUCGCUAGUAAUCGUGGAUCAGAAUGUCACGGUGAAUACGUUCCCGGGUCUU